UACGUAGGGUGCGAGCGUUAAUCGGAAUUACUGGGCGUAAAGCGUGCGUAGGUGGUUCGUUAAGUCUGAUGUGAAAGCCCUGGGCUCAGCCUGGGAAUGGCAUUGGAUACUGGCGAUCUAGAGUGCGGUAGAGGGCAGUGGAAUUCCCGGUGUAGCAGUGAAAUGCGUAGAGAUCGGGAGGAACAUCUGUGGCGAAGGCGACUGCCUGGACCAGCACUGACACUGAGGCACGAAAGCGUGGGGAGCAAACAGG
rnacentral:rRNA from 1 species